UUUGGGUUCAAAGAUGUUAAUUUUAUACUGCGUUAUCUAUCUGAUCGUCCUUUUCAAAGGAACUGAAGAUAAUACUAAUCUCAUACUGAGAUCCAUU